GACGAACGCUGGCGGCGUGCCUAAUACAUGCAAGUAGAACGCACAGUUUAUACCGUAGCUUGCUCCACCAUAGACUGUGAGUUGCGAACGGGUGAGUAACGCGUAGGUAACCUGCCUGGUAGCGGGGGAUAACUAUUGGAAACGAUAGCUAAUACCGCAUAAUAUUAAUUAUUGCAUGAUAAUUAAUUGAAAGGUGCAAUUGCACCACUACCAGAUGGACCUGCGUUGUAUUAGCUAGUAGGUGAGGUAACGGCUCACCUAGGCGACGAUACAUAGCCGACCUGAGAGGGUGAUCGGCCACACUGGGACUGAGACACGGCCCAGACUCCUACGGGAGGCAGCAGUAGGGAAUCUUCGGCAAUGGACGAAAGUCUGACCGAGCAACGCCGCGUGAGCGAAGAAGGUUGUCGGAUCGUAAAGCUCUGUUGUAAGAGAAGAACGGGUGUGAGAGUGGAAAGUUCACACUGUGACGGUAUCUUACCAGAAAGGGACGGCUAACUACGUG
rnacentral:rRNA from 1 species